GAUGAGUGCGAACGGGUGAGUAACGCGUAGGUAACCUGCCUUGUAGCGGGGGAUAACUAUUGGAAACGAUAGCUAAUACCGCAUAACAAUGGAUGACACAUGUCAUUUAUUUGAAAGGGGCAAUUGCUCCACUACAAGAUGGACCUGCGUUGUAUUAGCUAGUAGGUGAGGUAACGGCUCACCUAGGCGACGAUACAUAGCCGACCUGAGAGGGUGAUCGGCCACACUGGGACUGAGACACGGCCCAGACUCCUACGGGAGGCAGCAGUAGGGAAUCUUCGGCAAUGGGGGCAACCCUGACCGAGCAACGCCGCGUGAGUGAAGAAGGUUUUCGGAUCGUAAAGCUCUGUUGUAAGUCAAGAACGAGUGUGAGAGUGGAAAGUUCACACUGUGACGGUAGCUUACCAGAAAGGGACGGCUAACUACGUGCCAGCAGCCGCGGUAAUACGUAGGUCCCGAGCGUUGUCCGGAUUUAUUGGGCGUAAAGCGAGCGCAGGCGGUUUGAUAAGUCUGAAGUUAAAGGCUGUGGCUCAACCAUAGUUCGCUUUGGAAACUGUCAAACUUGAGUGCAGAAGGGGAGAGUGGAAUUCCAUGUGUAGCGGUGAAAUGCGUAGAUAUAUGGAGGAACACCGGUGGCGAAAGCGGCUCUCUGGUCUGUAACUGACGCUGAGGCUCGAAAGCGUGGGGAGCGAACAGGAUUAGAUACCCUGGUAGUCCACGCCGUAAACGAUGAGUGCUAGGUGUUGGAUCCUUUCCGGGAUUCAGUGCCGCAGCUAACGCAUUAAGCACUCCGCCUGGGGAGUACGACCGCAAGGUUGAAACUCAAAGGAAUUGACGGGGGCCCGCACAAGCGGUGGAGCAUGUGGUUUAAUUCGAAGCAACGCGAAGAACCUUACCAGGUCUUGACAUCCCGAUGCUAUUUCUAGAGAUAGAAAGUUACUUCGGUACAUCGGUGACAGGUGGUGCAUGGUUGUCGUCAGCUCGUGUCGUGAGAUGUUGGGUUAAGUCCCGCAACGAGCGCAACCCCUAUUGUUAGUUGCCAUCAUUCAGUUGGGCACUCUAGCGAGACUGCCGGUAAUAAACCGGAGGAAGGUGGGGAUGACGUCAAAUCAUCAUGCCCCUUAUGACCUGGGCUACACACGUGCUACAAUGGUUGGUACAACGAGUUGCGAGUCGGUGACGGCAAGCUAAUCUCUUAAAGCCAAUCUCAGUUCGGAUUGUAGGCUGCAACUCGCCUACAUGAAGUCGGAAUCGCUAGUAAUCGCGGAUCAGCACGCCGCGGUGAAUACGUUCCCGGGCCUUGUACACACCGCCCGUCACACCAGCGAGAGUUUGUAACACCCGAAGUCGGUGAGGUAACCUUUGGAGCCAGCCGCCUAAGUGGA
rnacentral:rRNA from 1 species